rnacentral:tRNA from 1 species
GCACCCAUAGCUCAACUGGAUAGAGCACUGGUCUUCGGAACCAGGGGUUGGGGGUUCAAAUCCCUCUGGGUGCA